CCUACGGGAGGCAGCAGUGGGGAAUAUUGCACAAUGGGGGAAACCCUGAUGCAGCGACGCCGCGUGAGUGAAGAAGUAUUUCGGUACGUAAAGCUCUAUCAGCAGGGAAGAAAAUGACGGUACCUGACUAAGAAGCCCCGGCUAACUACGUGCCAGCAGCCGCGGUAAUACGUAGGGGGCAAGCGUUAUCCAGAUUUACUGGGUGUAAAGGGAGCGUAGACGGCAGCGCAAGUCUGGAGUGAAAUCCCAUGGCUUAACCAUGGAACUGCUUUGGAAACUGUGCAGCUAGAGUGCAGGAGAGGUAAGCGGAAUUCCUAGUGUAGCGGUGAAAUGCGUAGAUAUUAGGAGGAACACCAGUGGCGAAGGCGGCUUACUGGACUGUAACUGACGUUGAGGCUCGAAAGCGUGGGGAGCAAACAGGAUUAGAUACCCCAGUAGUC
rnacentral:rRNA from 1 species